rnacentral:rRNA from 1 species
UACGAAGGGGGCUAGCGUUGUUCGGAAUUACUGGGCGUAAAGCGCGCGUAGGCGGUGAUCCAUGUCAGAGGUGAAAGCCUGGGGCUCAACUCCAGAAUUGCCUUUGAAACGGGAUUGCUAGAGUCCGAGAGAGGAUGGCGGAAUUCCUAGUGUAGAGGUGAAAUUCGUAGAUAUUAGGAAGAACACCGGUGGCGAAGGCGGCCAUCUGGCUCGGUACUGACGCUCAGGCGCGAAAGCGUGGGGAGCAAACAGG